AUACGGAGGAUGCGAGCGUUAUCCGGAUUUAUUGGGUUUAAAGGGUGCGUAGGCGGAAAGUUAAGUCAGCGGUGAAACGCAGGUGCUCAACACCUGACCUGCCGUUGAGACUGGUUUUCUAGAAUGCGGAUGCUGUGGGAGGAAUGUGUGGUGUAGCGGUGAAAUGCGUAGAUAUCACACAGAACACCGAUUGCGAAGGCAUCUCACAAAUCCGCGAUUGACGCUGAGGCACGAAGGUGCGGGGAUCGAACAGGAUUAGAUACCCUGGUAGUCCGCACAGUAAACGAUGAUAACUCGCUGUCGGCGAUAGACAGUCGGUGGCCAAGCGAAAGCGAUAAGUUAUCCACCUGGGGAGUACGACCGCAAGGUUGAAACUUAAAGGAAUUGACGGGG
rnacentral:rRNA from 1 species